AAAAAAAACACUGUUUUUUUUCCAGUCUACUGUGGUCCAGGUUACCAGCUCUUCAGGAGAUCUCUAUGAAUCGUCACGUUUACAACAAACAAGGAGAGAGAAGGCAGAUAGGUAGUAAAUGGUUAUCAGUCUUUCUUAGCUGCCCUGGAUUGUACUGAAAAAAAAAAAAAUUUUUUUUUUUCUUUUCAAAUAAAAACGGAAAGAAAGAGGACCUUGCUGUCCACACGCACGACUUCCUGGUAAACUGUAACAAAUUUCAUGAUGCCAAAAAAAAAAAAUCGCCACAAUUUCCAUGAUCUCAGAAGAAAAAAAAAAAGCCAUUUCCAGGAAGAAGGUAAUGAAACAGAGUCUAGAAAAGAACAAAGGAAAAGAAAGAAGGAAGGAAGGUUCCCCUCCACUCACGGUGCCUUCUAGAAGGCUCCUCCGCUCUGUGGAAAGGGAGGAAGACCAGCACAAGUGCUAGGCACGGUUGAACAAAGUCAACCUGUUGUCACCCCCCCCCCCCAUCACCAUGAAUAUCCUUAAAACACUCCUCAGACUUCCCCGCAGAUGUUUGCAAUUAGGGUUAGCUUCCAGCCUGAUCAAAAUGGUAGCCAUGGAGGACUCCCCCCCCCCCAUUUCUUCUUAAGAAUAAGGAGAUCUGGGGACAAUGAGAAUAUUUUUUUUUUCUUUUUCUAAUCAUUUUGUGAAAGCCUGGAAUUCCUCUAUGCUGAGCCCCAUUUCCACAGUCUCUGGCUCCAGGGAGGAAGAGAGGACGUAAUGGGGCGUGGAAGGAAGCAAGCGUUGCGUGCAGAAGCACUGCCCUUUCCAUGAGGAAGGCGAGAUUUAUGUACUGGGAAAAGGGUGCCUGGGCAGUUGUCGACACUGCCAAGUCUUAAGUCAACCUGGUAUAUAUUUCUUAGCCUCCCGAUGGAGGAAAGCUGGGCACGGAGGCCUCACCUAGCACGUUUCUGUUUCUGAGCUCUGCUUUGCAAAGGAUGGAGCGCGAAUGACCCAGGAGAAACGCGCUCACCUAUGUCACCUAUGUCCUCCUCUGAGGCUAGGUUUCCAUUUUUAGGAAAACCUUUCAAGUAGCAACAUCCACAGAUAGACGCUCCAGCGACAAAAGCAGGAGGCCUUGAUACAUGCACACCAGCCCCCCAGAGUGUGAACCCUGUCUGCCCUAGUUAACCACUGCCAUCUUUGCUCUGCCUUAUCUCUGCUCAUGGAUUUUUCCGGGUCACGGCGCUCGUGACCUUGAGCGAUGCAACACACGAUUCUAAACAUGUUCGACAAGCCACGCUUGGGUUCCUCCCAUUUGAUGUCAUUAAAACCUCGUUUUCUUUCAGCUUGAGUACGUGAAAACUUUUUAUGUCCUUUUUGCAAGGUUGACUGAGAGGCUAAAUUGACCAACCACUGAUCGAGAUGAUUCCACACAUGAGCCAGGCGUGGGAAGGUGGGCUCCUAAAGACGCCUGCCUCAUUGAAGGAUCUGUCGUUCUCCCGAAGGCCAUGAGGGGUGUCAACGUCCAGUGUAAUGUGAGCUGCUAGAAGUUAAGAGUCGCGAUUGGAAAGGUAAGGCUGAAACAAAUGCGCCCAAUGGAAAUGGAGACAAAAUAGUCUCGUGGAAAGCAAGCGAUCACCCAGAUCCCUGAGUGACUGUGGCUGAAGGAAGUGCGCAUUCAGUGGAAACAUCAAACUCCCCACUUGACCUGGAAAGACGAUCUCAGUGGUUGCCGCGAGGAGCUGUUCAGGUUCCAGAUGUUCAUGUGGAUUGUCAGGUGUGUGGCCAUACUUCCCCGGUCGCGGCUCUCCUCAGCCCAUAGGCAUGGAGUCCUAAUUGUGAAGUCCCGGUCUGCCCCUGGCACACUGACAUGCUUUACUAUUAUGUGAUGCCCAAAUAAGAGUCGAAAUGUGGCCAAGUUCAGGAUUGUAAGGUAGAAUUUUGUGCCACCGUGAUAAGAGCCAUAAUCCUGGUAUGUCCUUUAGAAACUUAAUGGAAAUGAAAUGCAGUUUAUGAUGUUGCUUAAAUACGAAUCAAACUGGUGUUUCAAGAACAGCAUGUAGGUUUAGGAUGGCUUGCUUGAAAGCCUUUCCUGGCUGUCCAUCAUCUAAGAAGUUGACUUUACACAAGGGGCUUGAACUUGAGGCAAAGGUCUUUCAUGGUGAUACCAGAAGUUUGGGAAAGCAAGUCUCAUUAGAUAAAAAGAAAAAAAAAAAAAACACCAGGAAGUCACUGACUUGCCAAUAAGACACUGAUGACCACUUCACCUCCAUCUUGAUGGAAUUCAAAAAUUAGCCAAACUUGCCAGACCAGUUUCUGCCUAGUAAUUUAAUUCACAGCUUCCUGUAGGUGUGACUUUCAGAAGCAGGUGCUACCAACAUGAACGUAAAGAAACAAACACGUACGUAUAUUCAGCUGGGUCUCAAUCCAUUAGGCUAAACUCACCAAAUAUGUCAGAGCUUGUUACGUGUUUUCAUCCUUGUGUCUUUAAGCCUCCACUAAUCAAUUUUGCUAUCUACCCUCCUACCAAAUGCAAUUCAGAAAACCCUUAUCCGUAUUGACACAACACAAUUCUGGUUCUUGUAAGUAAAAGAAAGUCUCUCUUUAUUUUAAAGAAGGCAAAACUUCUGGCAUUGCAAAGAAGCAUCAAUAUUGUAAUGUUCUUUUGCUCUUUUGACAUAAGCCUUUUCUUUGUAACAUAAGCAGGUAAUGCUUUUUUUGUAAACCUACCUACCAGGCCACUAAAGAAGUUAAAUGGUGAGAAAGAGGAUUUCUGGAAACCUGUUGAAAACUUUUCAUAAAAUGGCAUAGGUUUGGACAAAUACAAAGAAGUGAUGGACUCCUGACUUUUAUAAUUCAAGUUUUCUAUUUUCUAUCGACCUAUGCUGCAUUUUCUGAUUGAAACUGCCGUGUGUCUAACAGUUGCAAUCGUGUGGGUUUUCUGUACUCUCUUUUUACAUUUGAGAUCAAAUUUCAUACAGUAAGCUUGUUUCUCCUUGUUCUGUUUGGGGUUUGAUCAAAGUACUCUAACUGUUUCAUUGACUCCUUUGUAUGUGCUAAAAGUAAGUGACCUUCUGCCUUCAUUGUCUCAAGUGCUAUCUGCGGGAGGGAAAAAAAAUCCACGAAGCCUGUAGACUGUAAUCUACAUAAAUAAAAGAGACUUCCCUGUCAGCGUGAAUUCGUACAUAAGGAACUCUCUCUGUGGCCUCUCACUCCUGACCCUUCCUCCCUUCAUGAUCUUUUUUUCUAUCCUGAAUCGUCUGCUGAAUAAUUAAUUGUGCGCUCCUGUAAAGUACAAAAUCCAAUGACGUGCAAUCAGUUAUGGACGUGAAGAGAGGCUUGCUCUUGACUUCAGGACUCACAGACACCCUCGCAGUCACUGGACUGCCAUUCACUCAGCGUUUUGUGGACAGUAUGGCUUUGCUAGAAAAUAUGUUGUCGUUUGCUUGGGUGUUCCAGAUUUUAAAUGUUUCAGCAAGUGAGAGACAGGACAUUUGAAAGGCUGGUGUCCAAGCCGCCAGCGGUGCUUGCAAAGUCACGGCGCAGCUUCUGAAAUGUGGUUCAUCGCUGUAAAUAUGUACAAUUUAUGUCAGCUUGUUUAUUUCAAAAACACAAAUAAAUAAUUUUAAUUAUAAAUGGU